CCUACGGGAGGCAGCAGUGGGGGAUAUUGCACAAUGGGGGAAACCCUGAUGCAGCGACGCCGCGUGUGGGAAGACGGUCCUCUGGAUUGUAAACCACUGUCCCCAGGGACGAAGAUGACGGUACCUUGGGAGGAAGCUCCGGCUAACUACGUGCCAGCAGCCGCGGUAAUACGUAGGGAGCGCGCGCUGUCCGGAAUUACUGGGUGUAAAGGGAGCGUAGGGGGGGAUGCAAGUUGGGGGUCAAAACUACCGGCUCAACUGGUAGUCGCACUCGAAACUGCAGGUUUUGAGUGAAGUAGAGGCAGGCGGAAUUCCUAGUGUAGCGGUGAAAUGCGUAGAUAUUAGGAGGAACCCCAGUGGCGAAGGCGGCCUGCUGGGCUUUUACUGACGCUGAGGCUCGAAAGUGUGGGGAGCAAACAGGAUUAGAUACCCUUGUAGUC
rnacentral:rRNA from 1 species